GACGUAGGGCGCGAGCGUUGUCCGGAUUUAUUGGGCGUAAAGAGCUCGUAGGCGGCUUGUCGCGUCGACCGUGAAAACUCGCAGCUCAACUGCGAGCCUGCGGUCGAUACGGGCAGGCUAGAGUUCGGUAGGGGAGACUGGAAUUCCUGGUGUAGCGGUGGAAUGCGCAGAUAUCAGGAGGAACACCGGUGGCGAAGGCGGGUCUCUGGGCAGUAACUGACGCUGAGGAGCGAAAGCCAGGGGAGCAAACGGG
rnacentral:rRNA from 1 species